CCCCGUGAACCUUUACUAUAGCUUGACACUGAACAUUGAGCCUUGAUGUGUAGGAUAGGUGGGAGGCUUUGAAGUGUGGACGCCAGUCUGCAUGGAGCCGACCUUGAAAUACCACCCUUUAAUGUUUGAUGUUCUAACGUGGACCCGUGAUCCGGGUUGCGGACAGUGUCUGGUGGGUAGUUUGACUGGGGCGGUCUCCUCCUAAAGAGUAACGGAGGAGCACGAAGGUUGGCUAAUCCUGGUCGGACAUCAGGAGGUUAGUGCAAUGGCAUAAGCCAGCUUGACUGCGAGCGUGACGGCGCGAGCAGGUGCGAAAGCAGGUCAUAGUGAUCCGGUGGUUCUGAAUGGAAGGGCCAUCGCUCAACGGAUAAAAGGUACUCCGGGGAUAACAGGCUGAUACCGCCCAAGAGUUCAUAUCGACGGCGGUGUUUGGCACCUCGAUGUCGGCUCAUCACAUCCUGGGGCUGAAGUAGGUCCCAAGGGUAUGGCUGUUCGCCAUUUAAAGUGGUACGCGAGCUGGGUUUAGAACGUCGUGAGACAGUUCGGUCCCUAUCUGCCGUGGGCGCUGGAGAACUGAGGGGGGCUGCUCCUAGUACGAGAGGACCGGAGUGGACGCAUCACUGGUGUUCGGGUUGUCAUGCCAAUGGCACUGCCCGGUAGCUAAAUGCGGAAGAGAUAAGUGCUGAAAGCAUCUAAGCACGAAACUUGCCCCGAGAUGAGUUCUCCCUGAGACUUAGAGUCUCCUGAAGGAACGUUGAAGACGACGACGUUGAUAGGCCGGGUGUGUAAGCGC
rnacentral:rRNA from 1 species